AGAGUUUGAUCCUGGCUCAGAAUCAACGCUGGCGGCGUGCCUAACACAUGCAAGUCGAACGCGAAAGUCCCGCAAGGGAUCAGUAGAGUGGCAAACGGGUGAGUAACGCGUGGGUGACCUGCCUUCGAGCGGGGGAUAACGUUCCGAAAGGGACGCUAAUACCGCAUGACAUCCCGUCUUUUAACAGGCGGAGAUCAAAG
rnacentral:rRNA from 1 species